AAGUAACGUCUGCUCAUGGUAAAAUAAAUAGCCGCAAUUCGUGCUAAGGUAGCAUAAUCAUUUGUCUUUUAAUUGAAGACUAGAACAAAAGACUUAACAUUUUAAUAUUUUUUUUUAAAAAUUUAAAUUUAAAUUUUCUUAAAUGUAAAAAGACAUUUAUUUAUAAAAAAGACGAAAAGACCCUAUUAAACUUAACUUUAGUUUAACUGGGGAAGUUAAUUAAUUAUUAUUUUAAUAAAAAUAUUUAAUAAAAAAUCUAUUUUAAUUAAUAAAUAAUGUUACUAUAGGGAUAACAGCAUAAUUAUUAUAUAAAGCCCUUAUUUAAAUAAUAGUUUAUGACCUCGAUGUUGAAUUAAUUUUCUAAUUAAAGCAAAAUUUAAAAAAGAAAGUCUGUUCGACUUUUAAAAAAUU
rnacentral:rRNA from 1 species